rnacentral:rRNA from 1 species
CCUACGGGAGGCAGCAGUGAGGAAUAUUGGUCAAUGGACGAGAGUCUGAACCAGCCAAGUAGCGUGAAGGAUGACUGCCCUAUGGGUUGUAAACUUCUUUUAUAUGGGAAUAAAACGUUCCACGUGUGGGAUUUUGUAUGUACCAUAUGAAUAAGGAUCGGCUAACUCCGUGCCAGCAGCCGCGGUAAUACGGAGGAUCCGAGCGUUAUCCGGAUUUAUUGGGUUUAAAGGGAGCGUAGGUGGGUUGUUAAGUCAGUUGUGAAAGUUUGCGGCGCAACCGUAAAAUUGCAGUUGAAACUGGCAGUCUUGAGUACAGUAGAGGUGGGCGGAAUUCGUGGUGUAGCGGUGAAAUGCUUAGAUAUCACGAAGAACUCCGAUUGCGAAGGCAGUUCACUGGACUGCAACUGACACUGAGGCUCGAAAGUGUGGGUAUCAAACAGGAUUAGAUACCCGAGUAGUC